GUACUGAGAUAUCCCAUUGCUCUACAAGUUCUUCUAAGACAGUUAGAAUGCAUUGAAAAGAGUGUGUAAGAACAAAAUGUCCUUUCUCAGUGUCACCAUUUAAAACUCAUUCAUUCACACAUUCCAUGAAGAUCUUUGAAGGCUCUCACCUGAGUUAGGUGCUAAGCAAUUUACUCCCAGGAUUCAAUAGGCCAUCUGGAGGAUGUCUCACAUACAAACCAUAAGAAUUCAAUUUUUUAAGCCGUUCAAGGUUCGAAGGAGCAAGCAUACCUUGGAAGAGACUUCUGCUUGGAUGACUGACCCUUGUGACACAGCACUAUUCUCCCAACCUGAAAGCUGACAGCCCUGAAAGCAUACUGUCUCGGUAGAUCACCUGACUGAAAUUGGGGUCUGGUUGAAGAGCACAGCCAAAACAGAGACAAAAUGUAUCCUACCCAAGAAAGCCCGGCUGAGUCAUUUCAUGGAGCCUUUCACAGCCUCCUCACCUUCUCCGUCUAGGAGCAGCAAGAACACAUUUGCAGCAAAGGCC
rnacentral:lncRNA from 1 species